rnacentral:tRNA from 1 species
GCGGUCUGUGUGAAGGUAUCAAGGAACUGUCUAGACAGCGUCUAAGCUUCCCAAGCUUGAUACGUGGGUUCGAUUCCCAUCACCCGCUCCA